UAGCUUAGUUGGUAAAGCACUUGUCUAGCAUAUAAGGGUCGUAAGUUCAAACCUAC
rnacentral:tRNA from 1 species